GGAGAGGUGGCUGAGUGGUUGAAAGCGCUCCCCUGCUAAGGGAGUAUGUGGUAACACCGCAUCGAGGGUUCGAAUCCCUCCCUCUCCGCCA
rnacentral:tRNA from 2 species